rnacentral:misc_RNA from 1 species
UUUCCGUAGGUGAACCUGCGGAAGGAUCAUUAAUGAGUGAGGGCCUUCGGGUCCAACCUCCCACCCGUGUCUAUCGUACCAUGUUGCUUCUGCAGGCCCGCCUCACGGCCGCCGGGGGCUUCUCGCCCCGGGCCCGCGCCUGCCGAAGACCCUCUGAACGCUGUCUGAAGAUUGCAGUCUGUGUGAAACACAAAAAUUAUUUAAAACUUUCAACAACGGAUCUCUUGGUUCCG